rnacentral:lncRNA from 1 species
UUACAUAUACUGAAGAGUAUGUGGAUUUGAAGCAAAAUCAUACAAGUGUCAAUGGAGAAACAUACUGCAAGUUCCAAAACUCAAUAAGAAAUUAGACAUUCGGGUAGCUGCAAAUACCAGUCAUUGAAAUGGGAGGUUUGAUCUAAUUACAAGAGAUACUCCUCAGUUACAACAGUGGGGAUGGUUAGCUCUCUAGUGUAAUAAAUUGGUUUUACCUCUACCAAAUUUUUCAAACUCCCUGAAAUUGCACAACCAAGCCUGACAUAUAUGUCUUCACACAAUCGAAAAUGCAACCAUGGCAUCCCAACAUCUGUUUUCAUUUGAUAGCUGAGCCAAUGAUGGCAGGAGUCGGUUACAGAUCAUCUACACCUCUGUUUGCCAGCAUUCAAAGGAGAACCUCUGAUGCUUUUAGAUUGAGUGUUGGAGAGUUGCUGAGAUCCCUCUGGUUUCUUCUUUCGCCUCCCUUGUUGAGAUAGACGAGAGUGGUAGGAUAAGAUGGCGAGAUCAUUAAGGUCUUGCAACGGAGUGAGAACUUUCACUACUUCAUCCAUUGUAGGACGGGAUUUUGGGUCCCGGUGGAGGCAGUUGUGAGCUAAUUGAGAAACUUUCUGCACUCCUUUUAGAGAAUAAUUCAGCUCCAAGCGGGGAUCCACCAGUUGGUAAAGUUUUCUCUUGUCAGCUAAAACAAAACUUUCCCAUCUUUUAGCAUUCUCAUUUACAUAUACUGAAGAGUAUGUGGAUUUGAAGCAAAAUCAUACAAGUGUCAAUGGAGAAACAUACUGCAAGUUCCAAAACUCAAUAAGAAAUUAGACAUUCGGGUAGCUGCAAAUACCAGUCAUUGAAAUGGGAGGUUUGAUCUAAUUACAAGAGAUACUCCUCAGUUACAACAGUGGGGAUGGUUAGCUCUCUAGUGUAAUAAAUUGGUUUUACCUCUACCAAAUUUUUCAAACUCCCUGAAAUUGCACAACCAAGCCUGACAUAUAUGUCUUC